AGCGAACGCUGGCGGCAGGCCUAACACAUGCAAGUCGAACGAACCUUUCGGGGGGAAUGGCGGACGGGUGAGUAACACGUGGGAACGUGCCUUGAGGUUCGGAAUCACGCAUGGAAACUUGUGCUAAUACCGAAUGUGCCUGUCGGGGGCAAGAAUCAUCGCCUUUAGAACGGACCGCGUCUGAUUAGCGCGUUGGUCGAGGUAACGGCCCACCAAGGCGACGAUCAGUAGCGGGUCUGAGAGGAUGACCAGCCACAUUGGGACUGAGACACGGCCCAAACUCCUACGGGAGGCAGCAGUGGGGAAUAUUGCGCAAUGGGCGAAACCCUGACGCAGCGACGCCGCGUGAAUGAAGAAGUAUUUCGGAAUGUAAAACUCUUUCAGCAGGGAAGAUAAUGACGGUACCUGGGGAAGAAGCCCCGGCUAACUACGUG
rnacentral:rRNA from 1 species